GUCAUAUGCUUGUCUCAAAGAUUAAGCCAUGCAUGUCUCAGUACAAGCCAAAUUAAGGUGAAACCGCGAAAGGCUCAUUAAAUCAGUUAUGGUUCCUUAGAUCGUACCCACAAUUACUUGGAUAACUGUGGUAAUUCUAGAGCUAAUACAUGCAAACAGAGCUCCGACCGGAGACGGAAGGAGUGCUUUUAUUAGAUCAAAACCAAUCGGUGGCGGGUUCUCGCUCGUUAUCGUAUAACUUGGUGACUCUGAAUAACUUUACGCUGAUCGCACGGUCAUCGCACCGGCGACGCAUCUUUCAAAUGUCUGCCUUAUCAACUGUCGAUGGUAGGUUCUGCGCCUACCAUGGUUGUAACGGGUAACGGGGAAUCAGGGUUCGAUUCCGGAGAGGGAGCCUGAGAAACGGCUACCACAUCCAAGGAAGGCAGCAGGCGCGCAAAUUACCCACUCCCGGCACGGGGAGGUAGUGACRAAAAAUAACGAUACGG
rnacentral:rRNA from 1 species